UGAUCAUGAAGGUUUCCUUUGAGUUGAUGACCCGAUGAAGACUCAGACUUGGUUUCUUCAUUUCAGAUACUUUACUUCAUUGGAUUUGGGUUGUACGUCUGCGAAACGCUUCUCAGUAUCUGGGUUAUUCAGCGAGUAUACAUGUAUUUCUGAAGCAGAGGAAACGCCCACAAGGUGAAGCGUGAGGCUGCAAGAUACACCAUGAUGGCAGCAAUUUGAGUUUAACCUUCUGUAUUUGAUUCUAGUUCUAGAAAACCACUUUUUGUGUUUCUUAAUGUUCCUUGAGUGAUAGUUCAUGAUUCUAGUAAGAGGCUUCUUUUGUUAAUUGUACACUAUCCAGUUUCAAAACACAUACACAAUCUUUACUCGAAGAGAAUUUGCCCUACAA